GCUCCGUUGGUGAACCAGCGGAGGGAUCAUUACAGGACUCGCAAGACUCCUACAACCCUGUGAACUUAACUAUAAGCACGUUGCUUCGGCGGGUGUCUCGGAGGGAGUUCUCCCUCCCCGAGACGCUAAACCCGCCGGCAGCCUACUAUACUCUGUCUCUUUGCGUUGGCAUCUCGAGUACAAUCAAACAAGUUAAAACUUUCAACAACGGAUCUCUUGGUUCUG
rnacentral:misc_RNA from 1 species